rnacentral:rRNA from 1 species
GACGAACGCUGGCGGCGUGCCUAAUACAUGCAAGUUGAGCGCUGAAGGUUGGUCCUUGUACCAACUGGAUGAGCAGCGCACGGGUGAGUAACGCGUGGGGAAUCUGCCUUUGAGCGGGGGACAACAUUUGGAAACGAAUGCUAAUACCGCAUAAAAACUUUAAACACAAGUUUUAAGUUUGAAAGAUGCAAUUGCAUCACUCAAAGAUGAUCCCGCGUUGUAUUAGCUAGUUGGUGAGGUAAAGGCUCACCAAGGCGAUGAUACAUAGCCGACCUGAGAGGGUGAUCGGCCACAUUGGGACUGAGACACGGCACAAACGCCUACGGGAGGCAGCAGGAGGGAAUCGUGGGCAAUGGAAGAAAGUCUGACCGAGCAACGCCGCGGGAGUGAAGAAGGUUGUCGGAUCGGAAAACUCGGUUGGUAGAGAAGAACGUUGGUGAGAGUGGAAAGCUCAUCAAGUGACGGUAACUACCCAGAAAGGGACGGCUAACUACGUG